UUUUCGCUAUUUUGCCUUCCUCGAUGCCGCUUUCUGCGGAAACUGGUAGUAAUCAAGAUUCUCCUGAGGCGGUGCGGCCUGAGAACGUUUUAGCUAUAAUAAAACUUCUAUUUGCUGCCGUGAUCCGUAGCAUCAAAAUCACAGCCCCCAACAUUUUCAUUCCAUUUAUGUAAUCAACCGAUUAAACAUCUCCAUCCAAGUUUUAUUCCCCCCCCCCCCUCUUGUUAAUCGGGUUCUCCCAUCUAGGGUUCUUUAUAUGCGGAUCCCUCAUUAUACUGUCGCCGCCAGAAUCAGAAUUAGCGUAGGGUUUGAAUUUCUUGAUUGUGGAUUCGCUUCAAUUGUCGGGGUGACUGGAGACUCGCGAUUGCACCGGGACUUGGGGUUUUGAAUUUGCUCCAAAGGCCGCCGAUCCGUGUUGGAAUUUUAGGCCUUUUGGAGGCGGCAAGACUCGGUAUUAGUUGUUUCAUUUUGUCAUCCUCGCCCAGAAAAACGAGGUCAACGAAUUUUUUUGGGAGAUCGGGGGCUGAGCUUGCACCUAUUGUUAUAAACUGGAGUUCCACAAUGCUGGAUGUGAAUCAUAAUCGGGUUAAUAUAUCUAGCCCUUUUUUUCACCUAGCUGAAUGGCAUCCUUUAGAAUAGCGUCGCUAAACAGGGCUGAAGCCCUCUCCUCCCUCUGAAAUCAGGGUCAGCAGAGAAUAUAGCUGUUAGGUGUUUUCUUUGGGCGUGUGAGGU